GUAGUAAUCGGCCAAAAUAAACAAUCGUAACGGCCAUCUUGUAAAUCGCGUCAACUCACUGACUCGAGAUAUCUCAAUCAGUACAAAGCAAUUUACAUACGAGUCCGCCAUGCAGUACCGAUCGGAUCAAUCACAAUUCAAUAAGCCUUAAUAAUGUACUGUACAACAAAAAUCAAAUUACACUUACAUCGUGCACAAAAUUUUCCUGGCUUUGCUGGCAAUCACCUGGAGGCAGCAUAGCGGAAGCUGCCCCUGAAAGAGGCUGUCUUGU